rnacentral:rRNA from 1 species
GACGAACGCUGGCGGCGUGCUUAACACAUGCAAGUCGAACGGAACGGCCCUGCUUUUGUGGGGUGCUCGAGUGGCGAACGGGUGAGUAACACGUGAGUAACCUGCCCUUGACUUUGGGAUAACUUCAGGAAACUGGGGCUAAUACCGGAUAGGAGCUCCUGCUGCAUGGUGGGGGUUGGAUAGUUUCGGCGGUUGGGGAUGGACUCGCGGCUUAUCAGCUUGUUGGUGGGGUAGUGGCUUACCAUGGCUUUGACGGGUAGCCGGCCUGAGCGGGUGACAGGCUACAUUGGGACUGAAAUACGGCCCAGACCCGUACGGGACGCAGCAGAGGAGAAGAGUGCACUAGGGGCGGAAGCCUGAUGCAGCCACGCCGCGUGGGGGAUGACGGCCUGCGGUUUGGAAUCCGCAUUCGCCUGUGACGAAGCGUGAGUGACGGUAAUGGGUAAAGAAGCACCGGCUAACUACGUG